UGCAUAAGUGUCUUCAAACUUGCAUUGUUAUUGCAUUUUACGGUUUUGUUCCUUGCAUAAGUGUUUUGUCUCCAUAGCGUGUAUUAUGCAUUCUUAUUGUUUGGAUUAGCCCGAAAAUGGUGAAUGUAAAAUAAUUUAAGAUGCUGUCUUUAUUUCUCUUGUCGACCAGGUUAGAGUGAUGAGCUAGUCAUGCAUCAUGGACACAACUUGAAAGGAAUAGGGCUAAUGAUAUGGGCUUAAAGACAAAUCAUCGAAGUCUUGGACGUUAGGGCUAAUGAUUUGGGUUUAAAGACAAAUUAGUUAUAGGGCCUAUUUAGACCCAAUUAAUAUCUUGUACUUUUUGAUUGUGUUUUUUAUUUAGGCCCAUCAAAACAAGAUUUAAUAUCAAAUUAUUGCAAAUUCUGAA